UCAAGACAAGAGGAAUUAAACCUCUA
rnacentral:tRNA from 1 species